rnacentral:misc_RNA from 1 species
AAGUCGUAACAAGGUUUCCGUAGGUAAACCUGCGGAAGGAUCAUUAACAAAAUUUUCCAAACCUUAAAAUGGCAUUCGCUUUUGAAUGUCAUUUUUAACCCCACUUUUUUGUUGAACUUGUGUUUUUCUAUCUUAAAAUGAAAGGGUGAAAGGAGGCUGGUUUGACCAGCUCUUUCCAUUUUUUUCAUUUUAUUUUCUCUUUUUCUUUUUUCAAACCCAAAAUGAAUCUUUUUUAGACUGAACAAAAAACCGUUUUUUCGAAAGAAAAAGUUGGUUUUAAAAAAGUUAAUAGAAAAAACAACUCUUAACAACGGAUAUCUUGGCUCUC